CCUACGGGCGGCAGCAGUAGGGAAUAUUGCUCAAUGGGGGAAACCCUGAAGCAGCAACGCCGCGUGGAGGAUGAAGGUUUUCGGAUUGUAAACUCCUUUUGGUAGAGAAGAUAAUGACGGUAUCUAACGAAUAAGCACCGGCUAACUCCGUGCCAGCAGCCGCGGUAAUACGGAGGGUGCAAGCGUUACUCGGAAUCACUGGGCGGAAAGAGCGCGUAGGCGGGAUAGCAAGUCAGAUGUGAAAUCCUAUGGCUUAACCAUAGAACUGCAUUUGAAACUGUUAUUCUAGAGUAUGGGAGAGGUAGGUGGAAUUCUUGGUGUAGGGGUAAAAUCCGUAGAGAUCAAGAGGAAUACUCAUUGCGAAGGCGACCUGCUAGAACAUAACUGACGCUGAUGCGCGAAAGCGUAGGGAGCAAACAGGAUUAGAUACCCUUGUAGUC
rnacentral:rRNA from 1 species